GUGAAUCAUCAAAUUUUUGAACGCAAAUUGCACUUUCUGGUAUUCCGGAAAGUAUGCCUGUUUGAGGGUCAGUUAAAUAAAAAUCGGAGUGGUUGCUGACUUUAGUGGUGACGCGGCGGGAUGGGGACGUCUGACCUGCGGUUAAGUGAAUUAAAAGUUUUGAAUGAAAUUCGAACGUAUUUAAAUCGCUUAAGUACGGGUGAGAUAUCGAAAGCGUAUUAGGUUCGG
rnacentral:misc_RNA from 1 species